UACGUAGGGCGCAAGCGUUGUCCGGAUUUAUUGGGCGUAAAGAGCUCGUAGGCGGUCUGUCGCGUCGGCUGUGAAACCCCGAGGCUCAACCUCGGGCCUGCAGUCGAUACGGGCAGACUAGAGUGUGGUAGGGGAGACUGGAAUUCCUGGUGUAGCGGUGAAAUGCGCAGAUAUCAGGAGGAACACCGGUGGCGAAGGCGGGUCUCUGGGCCAUAACUGACGCUGAGGAGCGAAAGCGUGGGUAGCAAACAGG
rnacentral:rRNA from 1 species